ACACUGCAUUGCUGGGCUUCUUCAUGGCGCACUGGAAAAAUCGAUUAACACCUUCUGUUAAUCGAUUAACGUUAAUCGAUUAACAGAAGGUGUUAAUCGAUUUUUCCAGUGCGCCAUGAAGAAGCCCAGCAAUGCAGUGUU
rnacentral:pre_miRNA from 1 species